rnacentral:lncRNA from 1 species
UGCCAGCGAGGAGCCGGGGAAGGAGAGGAAGCAUAGCUUCCGGAGGCAGAGCCGGCCUCAGCGGGACAGGCGGGCCUCUCUGCCCUGUUCGGCCCAGCUUGACACUCUGCAGCUGAACUAUCUCCACAGUGCCACUAUGGCACCCACUCCAGUACCUCUGAAGCUCAGGGAUGACACAGAGUCGAGAGCGAAUCCACGGGACCGCCGGGUCUCUUCCGUUGAGGCUUCGAAGCAUCCGCAAACAGAAAACCACACGAUACCGACCAUCCCUGAGCUCUCUGAGACCUUUGAGAAGAAGCUGCGCUUUCGAAGCAGAAAUGUCAUGUCCUUGAGCGAUGCUGACAAUGUGUGUCUCAUCUGCCACAAUGAAAUGCGAAAUGAUGGUGGUGCGGUCCGAGAGCUACACUGUUCGCAUCGCUUCCACAGAGAGUGCAUUGAGCGAUGGCUGUGGAAGGAACAGUUAUGUCCCACCUGCAGCGUCCACGUAGCCAUGCCCGAGCCCCUGUACUGGUCCUCCACGCACCUCAAAGUACCCUGAUCAGAGGGUACCCUCAGCUUUCAGACUAGGACCUGAUUUCCUUCCACCUACCACGGCUGGACACCCACCAGAGACCCAUACUGGCAGUCAAAGGCUUCUUCCUUCUUUACACCAGAGCUUCGGAACACCUCUCCAGGCUCAUAAUAUGUGACGACGUCCUAAGUCCUCUGUGCACAUUAGAUUACAGCAUCUGAACAAAACUUCAGAACCAUGACCCGCAUGCAUAUUAUGUAAGGAGAUCAUGCCAAAUGCAAAUCCAAGUAACAGCACAAUUUUUACAACUUUCUUUAUUCAGCCAAUAUAGUGAGAUCUCACAACAGCAGGUAGUGAAAGCUCAUUUUUACCAGGUUUUAACAACUCUUUCCUAUUAUCCAUUUUGACUUUUAUACAACACACUUUUAAUGCCAAACUACAGGGAAAACUAAGAUAAAGGAUAUUUUUUUUAGCAAUGGUUCUGUAACCUGUGGUUAUUACAAGGUGUUUACUAAUGAUAUUUGAAAAUUAUACCUAAAAGGUAUAUCUGUACUGUAUCAAAUGUGGAUAAAUAGCAUUUUUACCUUUCAUUAAUUUAACUGAACACUGCAGUAUACAGCCUAUGCUUAUCUGACAGCACACUGUCUGUCAUACUCAAAUACAGUACUGGUGCUGUAAAAUUAGGACAACCAAUGCCAAUGUAGAGAUGCCUUUUGAUGACUUUAUAUAAACUUGGCAACUAAUUUCUUGUGAUCUAUAGUAAGAUCUGUAGUAUCUAUGUGAUGGUUUCCAUUACUGUUUCAAUGUCAUUUUCAUAAUUUUUAUUUGAAUAAAACUUGCAUCGUAACUAUUUUCCUUGUAACA